AUGAAUCUGUUAUGUUGGAACUAUCGAGGUUUGGGAACGAACUCGAUAGUUGGAGAACUUUACUGAUUAGUGCAGUCACUUUGUCCCUUCCUCGUCUUCUUGCCAGAAACUAAGAUGAGGGAUUCUAGGUCGAAGGACUUGAUGUGGUCGUUGGGAUAUGAUUCUUGUUUUGCUGUGAGUAGUAAUGGUUUAAGUGGUGGGCUUGCUCUAUACCGGUCAUCUUCUUUAUCAGUGUCUUUUAAGGCUUUCUCACAACGCAUCAUUGAUGUAACAGUGGAGUCAACUUCGGUUUCUAAUUGGCUUGCCACCUUUGUUUAUGGGGAGUCCAAAAAAGAGUUUCGACAUGAAUUUGGAAUAACUUGUGCUUCCUCUGCGAGCACAGUGGUACGGACCAUGGAUUUGCAUCGGUGA
rnacentral:rRNA from 1 species